GAUCCUCCUGACCGGCGGCACGCAGGGCGCCCUGGACGCCCUGGCCCGCGUCUUCCUGGAGCCCGGACGGGUCGCCGCCGUCGAGGACCCC
rnacentral:tRNA from 1 species